rnacentral:rRNA from 1 species
CCCUUAGAUGUUCUGGGCUGCACGCGCGCUACACUGAUGCGAUCAACAAGUUUUUCCUAUGUCGAUAGACACGGGUAAUCUUUUGAACUCGCAUCGUGAUGGGGAUAGAUUAUUGUAAUUAUUAAUCUUCAACGAGGAAUUCCUAGUAGGUGCAAAUCAUCAGUUUGCAUCGAUUACGUCCCUGCCCUUUGUACACACCGCCCGUCGCUGCUACCGAUUGGUUGAUCUGGUGAAUUAUUCGGAUUGCCGGCUGAAGGGGUUUCCUCAUCUGCCAGCGGAAAGUCUUGUUAACCCUAUCAACUAGAGGAAGCAGAAGUCGUAACA